UCCCUCUACUUGCUGAGUACAAAUCCACACUCCUGCUACUCCACAGUACUUUAUUUCAAUGGGCCACAGUCUCUCUCUCACACGCCCUAGCCGUGUGUCACCACACCACAGUUAGUUACUACCGUUUCAAAAAAAAAUGAGGCCCCACACGCAACGACUCUUUGCCUCUACACCACCACGGCACACUUGUCCCUCCACUCCACCCUCACCACCUCUCCGCCGCCUCUUUCCCUCCAAAACAAUUUCCCUUGCACACCGCUGCCACCUCAGCGUCCCCGAUUCUCCAUGCUCCAGUCAAACUCAAACCACCACCAGACGCCGCCAGGUGUUGCUCACUCCUCUCCUCGCUCUCGGCGUUUCAAUCCUCCAAUCCGCCGCCUCCAAAGCCGAGGUAGCCAACAAAGAACCGGAUUCUCCGCCUCCUCCGCCUCCGCCACCGGCGGCGGAGAAGAAGGCGGAGGAGGUGAUAAGUUCGAGGAUUUAUGACGCGACGGUGAUCGGGGAGCCGAUGGCUGUCGGGAAGGAUAAGCGAAAAGUGUGGGAGAAGAUAAUGAAUGGUAGGAUUGUGUAUUUAGGAGAAGCAGAGCAAGUGCCUAUAAAAGAUGAUAAAGAGUUGGAGCUUGAGAUUGUUAAGAAUUUGAAAAAACAGUGCGAUGAGAGGGAGAAAUCAAUUUCUCUUGCCAUGGAAGCCUUCCCUUGUGACUUGCAGCGCCUGCUAAAUGAAUACUUGGAUAAAAGGAUAGAUGGAGAGACAUUGAAGGGUUACAUGACGCACUGGCCGCCGCAAGGAUGGCAGGAGUGUGAGCCUAUGUUGAGUUAUUGUCGUGAUAAUGGAAUUAGAAUUGUUGCUUGUGGUGUUCCGCUUAAGGUUCUGAGGACUGUGCAAGCCGAGGGUAUUCGUGGGCUUUCUAAGGCUGAUCGUAAACUGUAUGCUCCUCCAGCUGGUUCAGGCUUCAUCUCAGGAUUCUCAUCUAUCUCACGUAGAUCAACUGAUAUGAAUGCUCCAAAGCAAUCUGUUCCAUUUGGACCUAGCUCGUACUUAUCUGCACAAGCAAGAGUAGUCGAGGAUCAUGCCAUGUCUCAAAUUAUCAUGCAAGCAGUUAUAGAUGGAGGAGCCAAUGGUUUGCUAGUAGUGGUGACAGGUGCAAGCCAUGUAAUGUAUGGAUCCAGAGGGACAGGUUUGCCAGCAAGAAUUUCAAAGAAGACACAGAAGAAAAACCAAGUUGUUAUAUUACUUGAUCCUGAAAGACAGUUCAUACGAAGAGAGGGGGAAGUCCCCGUCGGUGAUUUCUUGUGGUAUUCUGCUGCCAGACCUUGCAAUCGGAAUUGCUUUGAUCGUGCUGAAAUUGCUCGAGUGAUGAAUGCAGCUGGGAGGAGGCGAGAUGCCCUGCCUCAGGACCUUCAAAAGGGACUUGAUCUUGGUUUGGUAUCGCCAGAAGUACUGCAGAAUUUCUUUGAUCUGGAGCAAUAUCCUAUUAUUAAGGAACUCACUCAUCGUUUCCAGGGUUUCAGGGAAAGGCUGUUGGCAGAUCCCAAAUUCUUGCAUAGAUUAGCUAUAGAAGAGGCAAUCUCAAUCACCACUACUCUCUUGGCGCAGUAUGAGAGGCGAAAAGAAAAUUUCUUUGAAGAGCUUGACUAUGUAAUUACAGAUACUGUCAGGGGAAUAGUUGUUGAUUUUUUUACUGUGUGGCUUCCUGCCCCAACUUUGUCAUUCCUUUCUUAUGCUGAUGACACAGCGGCCCCUGACAGUGUGGAUGCUUUAAAAGGUCUCCUUAAGUCCAUCCCAGAUAAUGCAUUUCAAAAGAAUCUUGUAGGGAAGGACUGGAAUAUCAGUCACAGAGUAGCAUCUGUCAUUGUUGGUGGUGUGAAACUUUCUAGUGUUGGAUUUAUUUCCAGUAUUGGGGCUGUUGCUGCCUCAAAUCUUUUGUAUGCAAUUCGCGAACUCAUCAAUCCAGCAUUGGUUACUGAUCAACGAACUAAAAGAUCACCAAUACUCAAAACAGCAGCUAUCUAUGGAUGCUUUCUUGGAACAUCAGCCAAUCUGCGGUACCAGAUAAUUGCUGGAAUUGUUGAGCAUCGAAUCUCUGAUGAAUUUUCUUCUCAAACUCUUCUUGUAAAUAUGCUGUCAUUUAUUGUUCGGACAAUUAACUCCUAUUGGGGAACUCAGCAAUGGGUCGACCUUGCACGCGUUUCAGGACUGCAAAGUCAGAAGAGUGAACCACCCUCUUAUCAGACACUGGAUUCUCCGAGUAAUGCUGCAAUUGGAUGUAAUACCUUGGAAGAUACCAAUAUUGAUGAAAUCAACAAUCAAUGAGAUUGGAUUAUCAGUCCAAGGUUAUGGGUUCUAGUUUGGGAUUUUUUAUUUGAUGAAAUGUGGGUGAGCGUGGGAGGUAAGUCCAUCUGGUCUAAGUUCACGGUUCCUAAUUUGGGAAUAUAAUUGAUGAGCUAUGGGUGAAUUUGGAAGGUGCAUAAAAUCAUAAUUCUUUGUAGUUUAUAGAGAAACAACGGUAUUUUGAUAACUUGGUAAAAUUAGAAUCUUCUAUGAAAUUCUGAAGCUUUCGUGUUUACUAUAAGUAAGGUUCUAAGUAGGAUAAGUUUUGGUUGGGAUUUACCUUUGUGCCGGGGUUAUUUUCUUAGAUUUCAUAAUGAAAUAGUGAGUGUUUUGAUUUGCAUUUGAGGAUGGGUAUGGAAUGCAAGUUUUUGUUCUCUCAUCUCGUUUACCCUGUCUUGUUUCUUCUAUGGUAAUCUCCAAGUCACUUUCUGUCCUUGCUUAAGCCUUGAGUGUAAACUACUAGAGAUUCUUAUUCCUGCAUGUUUUCCUCCUGUUCUCAAGUAAUUAAAUCAUUAGAAAAAAAAUCCUAAAUUUCUGACUUAAGCUACCGCCACAGGGAUCCCAAAACUUGAUUUUAGAAUUCCAACUCACAGAACCCUUUUUUUCUCGUGUGUGCCAAAGAUAGAAAUGUGCAACCCUCAAUCAGUGGUAGGGGAGUUAAUAGUAUUACCACGGACAAACUGAUUUAGCCACCACUACAAAGAUGAGGGGCUACUCUGGUUCUGCCAGCAAUUUGUUUUUUUUUUUUUUUACAUAGGAUCCCAAAAUCAAUGGUUAUGGGAGUUAGCAUUAGUAAUUAGCGGGGUAGGGGAAGUGUAUUGCCACCGGGGACUGAAUUGGCUACCAUUAUGAGGGGCUCCUCUUGACUUUUUUUGUAAUGGGGCAUUUUUUUAAAACUCAAAUAUGCUAGACGGAGGAUUUGAACUAGUAAACUCUUCACUACCACUAGAUUGGAGGCCGCCAUUUGUUUGGCAUCAAAUCUCACCUAGUAUAUAAGUGCAAACAAACCCUUGAAACUUUAUUAUUUGACUUCAAACUUUGCAAUCCUCAAACCUACCCAGCAAUAACACACUGCCAUUUUUAGGGAGCAUAUAAAUCCAAACUUCGUAUGCCACCUAGUAACUGUGAGGUACAGACAUAGCAAAGCAUUGGUGAUACAUCUGCAUAUCCAAUAGGAUUGGUAUUUGACAUACGGUUUCAUAGAAGUUAGAGAACAUGUAGCUUCUUAUUUUAACAUAUUGGAUAUUUAUAUUUAUUUAUUUUGAUUGGAAGGAGAGCUUAAAGCCCUAGAACAAGAAAACUACAGGGUACAUUCUUGGAAAAGAAAUCCCAUGUCUUCUAAGAGAGAAUUAAAACAACGUGAAGGAAUAGAAGUCAAAAGGAAUGAAUGCCCAAAUCUAAGCGGAAAGCAUAAUUAGUCAUAGCACAACAGUAUAUGUUUAAUGUGAUAUUGGCAAGACUUCUACAUCAAAACUUAGACUCAUUCAGAUUCUGCUCUUCGGUCAUCUUGUCUUGUAGCAUUUGCUUAACCUUUUCUAAGGAAAGUUCUAGGUUCUUCAGCUGCAUCAGAUUUUUUUUGUGGAACAUUAGAUUCUGUGUCACACAUUCUUAAAAAAAGAACAAAGAAAAAGAACUAAAAUCUUAAAAUUUAGGUGGCCAUGAUAAAAGGAGUAUAACAAAUUUACCUCUUGUUUGGCAAAUCUAUUAUAGACGAAUAAGCCACUAAACAGAUCAGAGCUGUCUUUCAUGGUGCUCUCUUUCUGGGAAGAAGAAAAAAGAAAAGACUUUUUUGGUUUCUUUCUUCACUUUGUAUUAUUUACGGUCUGUUUAAUGACAAGGAUACAGGGGAAAACAGAGUUGAUGAAAAUUUGAGCAAUUGAGCAUACCAGAUGAAUCAGUGUCUCAAAACCUUUUGUGCUCAUAGAUGUGGGCUUGACCUCCAUUUCCGAUAAAAUCCUAUUACAUCGGAAGAAAUCCAAGCUUAAUUGUGGUUUUUGUCUAGAAUGUUUGAAGGCAGUAGUUUUACCUCCCAAUUGUGUGAGUAAGAAAUUGACUCCGUGCAGCGACCAUAUCAUGUUCUUCACAAGACAUUUCCAGCAUUCUACAACCCUGGUCAACAAAGAAACACACAUUUCAUAGUUAUUGCAUUAUGGAAUGGGGAAUAUAUCAAGGAUGCAAUCUUAUUGAAAAUGCUGGGUCGAAAGCUUGGUGGAGUUUUGUCUCCCCCACACCCGUUUUUAUCAAUAGGUGGAUUCCUUCAGAAGAAAAGUGAAGGCGUAUAACAAGCAUUUUGCUGUCUUCGUAUGUUCAGUAGCUAUUCUUUUAUCUGUUCAGAAGUGGUCCAAUGACUAAUAAGGAUAACUUCUCACUACUCGAGUUUUAGUUGUUUCAUGUUCGUUGUUUUUAGGAUAGAGAUGUCGAGAAAGUGGGCCCGUUUCACUCUUCCUUUUGGUCAAUUAAUUUUGGCUAAUGGUUUAUCUCUUUGGGUCAAGUGCUUACUGAUAUACAUGGCUUAUAGGUCGCUUGAUUAGGCUGUUGUUUAGCAGCAACUAGUAACAUCUAUGCCAGCUUAGGCCAAAAGGGAGAGUUAUCUUGAUGGUGUUAUCAGGUUACCUCAGUUUCGAAAAUUCGUAGAAAACUUGAGCACGUAGCUUCGUCCUUUAUCCGAACUCUUUCAUACAUAAAAGCAAGAUCUUUCCAUCCAUUUUUCCCACUCUCCGGCCCGAACAUUGGAUGAGUGCACAACACGUCCAAUUCCUCUGGCAGUACCUGAGCAAUUGACAUGCGCGCUUGAAUACUCGCCGAUAUAAUAACAUCAAAAGGAACAUAUCGUAUUUUAACUUCAAUAUGGUAUGAUGGAAAUGACAGUAUACUUUCAAUAGAAUAUCUCUCGGGUACUCUUUGACUGAGAGAACAUCCACAAAGAGAGGUGACCGUUUCAGGCAAUGUAGUGGCAUUGUAUUGAGAACCUUCGAUAGGGAUAGGAUUGAUGUACAAAUCAAAAUGACAUCAUUAUUUGCUUCAAGAAAUGUGCCCGUGUCCCUAGCAAAGCAUGAGCAGAAUUAUAAAGACUGCAUGUUCAGCAACAAUUCUUGCAGACAUUUGUGUGUUUGGAUGUGUGCUAACCUGAAGAAUGAGAUGCCCAAAUCUUGGCAGAGGGAAGAAUGAUCGGAACGAGAAGUUGCCCGUAAAGUAUGCCCUUGUUUGAUCAUGAUCUUUGCCAGGAACUGUGCAAAGGGGCCAAAGCCCACUAUACCUAUUUUCAGAUUUCUGGAAGGCGAAGAAGAAGAAGAUGAUGAAACAGCCAUGUUGUUAAUGGAGAGAGAUAGAGAGGAGGGGGAGAGGGGGGCUGUGUUUAAAUGAGAGGUCUGGUUUAGCGCGGCUUUCUAACAAGAGCCGUAAUUGACUGGGGAAGGAAUUUGGACGUUUCCUUUAUUGAUAAUCGUGGGCCCUGUGGCUACUGUCAUGCAUGAUGCAUCCUCCAUUUUGACCGUUAGGAAGCAUUAGAUUCUGAUCGUGGUGGUUCCUGAGUUUCUUCUCAACCCAGUGAGGGUUUUUGCCUCCCCCUUCUCAGCGGCUCAAAUUGAUGAGUCAUCACAGGCCCAGGACACAGGAUUAGAGCAAUGACGUGUUAUCUACUACGCAGAUAAGAGGCAAAAAGAAAAGGGGGGGACCACCUAAAUUUAAAGCAUUUAGUACAGAAACUCCACUCACAUCGUUACACGUCAGUUUUCUUCUCUUUUUUAAAUCAAAUAUUACUAAUUAUCAGUUCGUGGAUUGCAUAAUCCAAUGUACUCUCUCAGGCCAAAACAAGGUGCAGUUCAUUCCAUAAAAAAAACAAAGGAGAAGAAGAAACAAAAAGAAAAGGAGGAGUAGCACGUGCCUUUUAACAAUGCUUUUCUUUCUUUGGGGUCCCAGUAGCUUUGGAUUUUGGGAACCUGCCAGGAUCACCUUACUUGUUUACCGGUAAAAGUUGGUUUUAAAAUUAUUUUUUAUUUGAAUAUUUAUUAAAUUCAUGUAUUUUUUAAGAUUUAUAAACGAUAAAAAAAUAAUUUAAAAUAAAAAGAAUAAUUUUUUUUUCAAAAACAUGGUGCGGGGUAUUUAUAUUUCUGACUUCUGUCUUUAUUGUUUGGUGACCUCCCCGUAACGUUUAAAUUCUGUUGUUCCGGUCAUAUAAAAAAAGUGUAAUUGCUAGUGACUUGAGAUAAUGUUGUUAAUAAAAACAUUACUUUUCUAAGGAUCUCAACAAAUACUAAUAGUUCUUGCUGUCCAGGCAGAUUUAACUAUAUGAUCUUGUCUUGACAAUGAUCUGAGUAAUUCAAAACAUAUCAUCUAAUCAGAUUAUUAUUUUUUUGUUGUCAUUAGAUUAAUAUUAUUUAAGAAAAUAUGAUUAUAUAAUAAGCUUUUAUUGACAAAAAUUACUUUAAAUGUACAUUUUAUAUUUAUGUUUCGAGUAUAGUAUCAAUUUUCUUUCAUAACUAGAAAAAAAAAUGUACAUUUUACAUGCCUAACCAACCAAAGAGAAUUUUAAAUGAUAAUUAAAAGAAAGAUUUUGCAUGCAUUUAAAUGGAAAUAAUGUUCCGUUUAAAUGUUAAUUUUAAAAGAUCCGAUUUUUUUAAUUAGAAAACACUUGUUUAAAAGCAAACAAAAUAGCCCUUGAAUAUAUUAAAAAAAAAUAGUGUCAUUUCUGCAAAUAGAACCCGAAAGAAAGGCUAUUUAAAACCGGACCUUGCUAUAUAACCAUCAUAGUUUUUAUAGAAAAUAUCUCUCCUUAUCCUUAACAGGCCGUCUCUCUGCAUCUAGUAAUACCCACCCUUCACUCAUCUCUCGCGCUCUGUCUCUUUCUCUCUCUCUCUCACACACAGCUUUAUUUCAAUUGGCAAUGGAGGUAAUGUCUCACAGAUCAGCAUCAACAUUAAAUCCCAACGCUCCGCUAUUUGUACCGUUGUCAUAUCGAACGGUGGAGGAUUUUUCCGACCAAUGGUGGGCCCUUGUCCAGUCCUCCCCUUGGUUCCGAGACUACUGGCUCGAAGAACGUUUCUAUGAUCCCGAAUCUGACCCUUCAUUCUCUGAUAUUUACGAUUCUUUCCUCCCCGACGAUCUCUACUCUCUCUUCUUCGACGACCCAAUUUACGACACUAUCAAAGGGGAGGAGGAGGAGGAGGAGGUGAAGGGAUGCAACAAGGAAUUGAUUUCGCUUGGAGUGAUGAAGUGGAAAAAGGGUCGAGUUGAUCGUGCUCAGGCACCGAGGUAUUUGGAGAAGGCACCCAAGAUAGUGAGUGUGAAGCUGAGUCCAAGGACGAUUCAGCAACCGAAGUAGAGUUGUGUGACUCGGCAAGUUUGAGGAUAACCCAGUUGGUUGUUUUGUAUAGAAUCACUCUUAGACUUUGAAUUCUGUUCUAGCUGUUUCUUUUAUCUGGGUUUUUCAUGUUAUUGUGUAGAAAAAAGAAAGCGCUUUGUAGAAUCUUAGCUUUAUUCGGGAAUAAUAAAGCAAAUGAAAUAAUAAGCAUUUGAUUAAA